UACGUAGGGUGUGAGCGUUAAUCGGAAUUACUGGGCGUAAAGCGUGCGCAGGCGGUUUUGUAAGCCAGAUGUGAAAUCCCCGGGCUUAACCUGGGAAUGGCAUUUGGGACUGCAAGGCUUGAGUGCGGCAGAGGAGACUGGAAUUCCUGGUGGUAGCAGUGAAAUUGCGGUAGAUAUCAAGGAGGACACCGAUGGCGAAGGCAGGUCUCGUGGGCUGAACCACGUG
rnacentral:rRNA from 1 species